rnacentral:rRNA from 1 species
CGGCAAAAGAUGAGCAUGCGUCCCAUUAGCUUGUUGGUAAGGUAACGGCUUACCAAGGCAACGAUGGGUAGGGGUCCUGAGAGGGAGAUCCCCCACACUGGUACUGAGACACGGACCAGACUCCUACGGGAGGCAGCAGUGAGGAAUAUUGGACAAUGGGCGCAAGCCUGAUCCAGCCAUACCGCGUGGGUGAAGAAGGCCUUCGGGUUGUAAAGCCCUUUUGUUGGGAAAGAAAUCCAGCUGGUUAAUACCCGGUUGGGAUGACGGUACCCAAAGAAUAAGCACCGGCUAACUUCGUGCCAGCAGCCGCGGUAAUACGAAGGGUGCAAGCGUUACUCGGAAUUACUGGGCGUAAAGCGUGCGUAGGUGGUCGUUUAAGUCUGUUGUGAAAGCCCUGGGGCUCAACCUGGGAACUGCAGUGGAAACUGGACGACUACAGUGUGUUAAA